rnacentral:rRNA from 1 species
GAUGAACGCUGGCGGCGUGCCUAAUACAUGCAAGUCGAACGAAAAGACCAUGAUUUUGUGCCUUUGUCGUUUGCGGCUGACGGGCGUGUAACGCGUGUAUCACCUACUUAUAUUUCGGGGAUCACUACGGAAAACCGGAUACAAUACUAUAGAAUAUAUUGAACCGCUGGGUGCAAUGGAAAUUGUCGGCGUUCGUGGUUGUAUUAGCUGAUUCCUCGCCGCAUUGGCUGGUAGGUAAGUUAACGGCCUAUCAAGGCUACGAUGCGUAGCCGACCUGAGGGGGGGAUCGGCAACCUUGGAGCUGAGCCACGGACCAGACUCCUACGGGAGGCAGCAGUCGGGAAUGUUCGGCAAUGGGCGAAAGCCUGACGGAGCAACGCCGCGUGAGUGAUGAAGGCCUUCGGAUCGUAAAGCCCUUUUGUUAGGGAAGAACAGCUGUGGGAUUAUACGUGGCCGUAUUGACGGUACCGAAUAAGGAAGCACCGGCUAACUACGUG